CCUCCUCUGCAGCUGUUAAGGAUGGUGGACUAUUGUCAGGGCCACCACCUCUGCAGCUGUUAAGGAGG
ensembl:miRNA Mir1968 microRNA 1968